AUUUCUUUUAUGAAUUUAUUGCAAUUCAUCUUCUAUCUAUCAAAUGACUAUAUCUCUCAUCAUUUUUUUCUUUGUUCCAUUUCUUGGUAUAUUAACAGCAAUCUCAUGUCACGGACACAAAAUACAGACUUGAAAUCUAACAAGAAGUUCAAGGAGAAGUGGCAGAACUAGAUUAAACAGAUGAGUACAAGAACAACACCAGAAAGGUGAGCUAGAACUCCAAGAGAUG
rnacentral:lncRNA from 1 species